UCUCGCCAACAAUCCUCCAGGGAAAACACUCCUUCAGCAGCUAGCAGAGAACAACAUGCCUAAACCCACUUUUGUACUCGCCAUCAUCCUUCUAAUUGCUCUCUUCAGUGCAUCUGCAGGUCAAACCAUAGUGGUGGAAAUUGAUAAUGAUGUUCCCCCGAAGUUCAUAAAGGGGCACAGCAGGAAGAUUCUCACAGAGAUUCAGGACUAUGACUAUGGAGGAGCAAACUCUAGGCAUGAUCCACGCAGAAGGCCCGGGAGGAAUGGCUAGAGAGUUAAGACCCUUCGUGCAUAUCCCUGCAUAUGACAGUGUGGAGGUAUUACUAUGAAAGCAGGUCAUAUGAGGGACCAGUCACUCGCGGUAGCAAGCCUAUAUGAUUUUCAAAUUCCCUGCAGUAUGGUUUAUAUAUCCAAAUAGAUCAGAGAGCGCGAUAGAUAUUACUCGUAUCCCCUAAAUAGUCUAGCCGCGUGAAGUUGAGACUUGUUCAUUGGCACUAAGUGCUACAAAAGCAUACAUGAUGCAGAGGGUUAUCUAUGAUGCCAUUUGGCGCAGUUAUAAUAAUUUCUUGUGAGCUCAAGCUGCUCUGUUCUCUUC